rnacentral:lncRNA from 1 species
AGUUAGAUUAGUUUUAAAUACUCCAUAUGGCUCUUAUAUUUACUCUAAAAUCAUAGAAGUUGCUUGUUGGGUAUAAAAUACCCCCUCAGCCGAAGUUUGCGCCAGGAGUGAUCACUCAGGGAUUCUACCGGCGUCCGACCUUUGGCAACUUCUCUCCUGCGGCUAAGUCUCCGCAGCAUUCUCGAGUUCUGCCGAUGGGUAAAUCCCCACC